rnacentral:rRNA from 1 species
AUGGUGUCGUGGAGCGACGAGACCAGUGAGGAUUCAGUCAUGAACAUCUCCUCCUCCUGCGAUGGCAUCAUCAAGCUUCCAGCUAUGAUGCACGAUCCGAAUUUCAAUGGCACUGACGCAGAUGUGAAUGUUUUGUGCGAACACGACUCGAUGGAGAAGGCAUUGGCCAAGUUAUGGGAUAUGUAUGAAGAGAUUAAGUCAGCUAGGACCAAUGACAAUCUAGAGAGUUCCUUUGCAAUUCACAACCCGACAAAAGAGAAGAAGAAACUACAGGAGAAUUAUGACAGUUUGUAUGCUGAUGUGAAUGCUCUCUUGGAUGCCCAAUAG